rnacentral:lncRNA from 10 species
GAUCAGCUGUGUUCGUGAGCAGUGCAGGUGUGCAGCUGUGAGGACAUUCCAGGGUCAUCAUUACCAGCUGUGACCUUGUGCCCCUGACUCCCCGUCUUGGGUUCCUUUUCUUUAAAUAUGACUCAUCAAAUGAAAACCUCUCAGUGUUGUUGUGAGGAUUAAGCCAAACAGUGCAAACAAAAGGCUUAGCACAGUACAGCGGUUUACAGUCAAUGCUUUCAAUGGCGCUAGCUGUGAACAUUUGGUAACUGUAACCAGUUAACUUUCAGGGCUAGAUAUGACAACACAUCCUGCAAAUUCCUCCAUUUUAAUCUAAUCAAAAUAUAUAAUGUGCAAAAUACAAAAUAAAAGAGGAACACAGUGUCUGCUUGGGAAGGCUUCCAUUUACAAACAGCAUGUUGAAAAAGUUCACUUUUGUUUGGAGGACUCUAUGUUCCCAUAGCAACAGUGCUCUAAGUGUGUGUGUGUGGGGCUUAAAUUCCAAGGACUCACAAGGGCAAAUUAACUCUUAGUUACGUGAAAUAUUGUGUUAGUCCUGAUAGGGUUAAACAAUGACUGUACUUGUAGUGAAACAAAGAAAAAAUUGAUAUGAAAAUAAGAUUGAAAUAUUUUAAAAUCCUGUGGCUCAAAGGAAAGCAGGAUGAACUAGGGGCCAAAUGAAGAAGCUGUGGGGCCUUGGGGUUUGAGACAGGGCACUUAAUUAAAUGUAACGCUGUUUUCCUUGGUGCGAGGGCCCCCAUACUCAUCUGUAUUGUUCAGCCCUCAAGAGAAUCUUCACUGGCUGGUAAACGAACAAGAAUAGCUGGAGAAGGAAUACUUCAUAUAGUAUAAAAAAGACCCUUGGACAGGCAUGGUGGCUCCAGCCUGUAAUCCCAGCACUUUGGGAGGCUGAGACAGGACUGCUUGAGCCUAGGAGUUCUAGACCAGCCUGGGCAACACAGCAAGACCCAGGUGCGGUGGCACGAACCUGUAAUAUUAGCUACUUGGGAGGCUGAGGCAGGAGGACUGCCUGAGCCCAGGAGCUUCAGGCUCCAAGUGAGCUAUGACUGUGCCACUGCACUCCAGCCUGGGCAACAGAGCGAGACCUCGAAAACUAGCAGGUGAGCAGGUUAAAGCUGAGUUCUCUGCUCUACUUUCAGAGUCUUUAAUAUGCUAAUUUCUUCAUGAGGUUCACAGAAUGUCGUCUAAACCCAAGUGACCAUAACCCCUUCCUUCCUGCAGCAUCUCCAGGGGCAAGAGUUCUGGGAACACACCUGAGACAAGUCUCCUGCAAUGCCAGUCUUGGCAAGCCCUCCUCCCGCUCCUCAGCUUCCCCUUCCAGCAGGCAACCUCCCCCAACACCCCCUCUCCUGCUUUGCCUUGGGCUACUUGUACUUAAUCCGUCCAGAGGUUUUAGUUGAUACUCUAAUGUGAUUUCUGCAUUUCCAUCUGAAAACCAAACAGAUUUUUGACACAAAGGAAGCUUCAUAGCAG